rnacentral:rRNA from 1 species
CACGUAGGCGGUCAGGUCAGUCUGGCGUGAAAGCCCCCGGCUCAACCGGGGAAUUGCGCUGGAUACUGCCUGACUCGAGGACGGUUGGGGUGAGUGGAACUCCUGGUGGAGCGGUGAAAUGCGUAGAUAUCAGGAGGAACACCAGUGGCGAAAGCGGCUCACUGGACCGUAACUGACGCUGAGGUGCGAAAGCUAGGGUAGCGAACG